CACGCGGAAUAUCUUGCGUCGCGGUGAUUAUCAAAUGUAUAAUAAUCAUACUACAAGUUAUGGAUGACCACCGUCGCCGUGGAGAGGACAGGACGCGCAUCUGGUCGUGUACAAGCUUCGGGCAGCGGAUAAGCGCUGAUAAUGCGUCAAAACAACAGAAGGGAGGCUGGAAUAUGAAAUAUUACAGAUGAUUAAGACAGCUGUCAGUCUGAGCUGUGUGCUCCACUCAGAGCUGCUGAAUUUGACACCUCUGCGUCAACAGCGGGGGGAUGGAGUGGGACAGUGAUGACCACAUCCUCCUCAACCGGUGGAGCGCUGGCCGAUGG